rnacentral:rRNA from 1 species
CCCAGACUCCUACGGGAGGCAGCAGUGGGGGAUAUUGCACAAUGGGGGAAACCCUGAUGCAGCGACGCCGCGUGAGUGAAGAAGUAUUUCGGUAUGUAAAGCUCUAUCAGCAGGGAAGAAAAAAGACGGUACCUGACUAAGAAGCCCCGGCUAACUACGUGCCAGCAGCCGCGGUAAUACGUAGGGGGCAAGCGUUAUCCGGAUUUACUGGGUGUAAAGGGAGCGUAGACGGCAAUACAAGUCGGAAGUGAAAUACCCGGGCUCAACCUGGGAAUUGCUUUGGAAACUGUAUGGCUGGAGUGCUGGAGAGGUAAGCGGAAUUCCUAGUGUAGCGGUGAAAUGCGUAGAUAUUAGGAGGAACACCAGUGGCGAAGGCGGCUUACUGGACUGUAACUGACGUUGAGGCUCGAAAGCGUGGGGAGCAAACAGGAUUAGAUACCCUGGUA